AGGACGAACGCUGGCGGCGUGCUUAACACAUGCAAGUCGAACGGAAAGGCCCUUCGGGGUACUCGAGUGGCGAACGGGUGAGUAACACGUGAGCAAUCUGCCCCUAGCUCUGGGAUAGCUCCGGGAAACCGGGAUUAAUACCAGAUAUUACUACGGCCGACAUCAGCUGUGGUGGAAAGAAUUUCGGCUAGGGAUGAGCUCGCGGCCUAUCAGCUUGUUGGUGGGGUAAAGGCCCACCAAGGCGACGACGGGUAGCCGGCCUGAGAGGGCGACCGGCCACACUGGGACUGAGACACGGCCCAGACUCCUACGGGAGGCAGCAGUGGGGAAUAUUGCGCAAUGGGCGAAAGCCUGACGCAGCGACGCCGCGUGCGGGAUGAAGGCCUCGGGUUGUAACCGCUUUCAGCAGGGACGAAGCGAAAGUGACGGUACCUGCAGAAGAAGCGCCGGCUAACUACGCGCCAGCAGCCGC
rnacentral:rRNA from 1 species